GAUGAACGCUAGCGACAGGCCUAACACAUGCAAGUCGAGGGGCAGCACGAAGUAAGCUUGCUUACUUUGGUGGCGACCGGCGCACGGGUGCGUAACAGGUGUGCAAUCUGUCCAUAAUCGGGGAAUAGCCCAGCGAAAGUUGGAUUAAUGCUCCAUGUGAGUUUUAGAGGCAUCUCUUUAAUUUGAAACGUAAGGAUUAUGGGUGAGCACGCUUCUGAUUAGGUAGUUGGUGAGGUAACGGCUCACCAAGCCGGCGAUCAGUAGGGGUUCUGAGAGGAAGGUCCCCCACACUGGAACUGAGACACGGUCCAGACUCCUACGGGAGGCAGCAGUGAGGAAUAUUGGUCAAUGGCCGGAAGGCUGAACCAGCCAAGUAGCGUGAAGGAUGACUGCCCUACGGGUUGUAAACUUCUUUUGUUUGGGAAUAAAUGAUACUACGUGUAGUAUUUUGCAUGUACCUUACGAAUAAGCAUCGGCUAAUUCCGUGCCAGCAG
rnacentral:rRNA from 1 species